rnacentral:rRNA from 1 species
UACGGGGGGGGCAAGCGUUGUUCGGAAUUACUGGGCGUAAAGGGUUCGUAGGUGGCCUGCUAAGUCAGACGUGAAAUCCCUCAGCUCAACUGGGGAACUGCGUCUGAGACUGGCAGGCUUGAGUGCAGGAGAGGAACGCGGAAUUCCAGGUGUAGCGGUGAAAUGCGUAGAUAUCUGGAGGAACACCGGUGGCGAAGGCGGCGUUCUGGACUGCUACUGACACUGAGGAACGAAAGCCAGGGGAGCAAACGGG